AAUAGAUACCCUGGUAGUCCACGCCGUAAACGGUGGGCACUAGGUGUGGGCGACAUUCCACGUCGUCCGUGCCGCAGCUAACGCAUUAAGUGCCCCGCCUGGGGAGUACGGCCGCAAGGCUAAAACUCAAGGGAAUUGACGGGGGCCCGCACAAGCGGCGGAGCAUGUGGCUUAAUUCGACGCAACGCGAAGAACCUUACCAAGGCUUGACAUACACCGGAAACGUCCAGAGAUGGGCGCCCCUUUGUGGUCGGUGUACAGGUGGUGCAUGGCUGUCGUCAGCUCGUGUCGUGAGAUGUUGGGUUAAGUCCCGCAACGAGCGCAACCCUUGUCCCGUGUUGCCAGCAGGCCCUUGUGGUGCUGGGGACUCACGGGAGACCGCCGGGGUCAACUCGGAGGAAGGUGGGGACGACGUCAAGGUCAUCAUGCCCCUUAUGUCUUGGGCUGCACACGUGCUACAAUGGCCGGUACAAUGAGCUGCGAUACCGCGAGGUGGAGCGAAUCUCAAAAAGCCGGUCUCAGUUCGGAUUGGGGU
rnacentral:rRNA from 1 species